CCACUCUUGAUUGCCAUGCCAUGUGAAGCAGGAGAAUUCCCAAUUCUAAUGUUCCUCCAUGGUUACCUUCUCUAUAACUCUUUCUAUUCUCUCCUCAUCCAACAUGUUGCUUCUCAUGGCUUCAUUGUUAUUGCUCCUCAGUUGUACACUGUGGCUGGGGCAGAUUCAAGUGAGGAGAUAAAAUCCACAGCUGCAAUAACAAACUGGUUAUCCAAAGGGCUGCAAGAAGUGCUGCCACUCCAUGUCCAACCAA
rnacentral:misc_RNA from 1 species